rnacentral:lncRNA from 1 species
UGUCACUGGUGACCCUGGUGUCCCUGGUGACCCUGGUGAUAUUGGUGUCCUGGUGAUCCUGGUGUCCCCGAUGAUGGUGGUGAUCCUGGUGAUCCUGGUGUUGCUGGUGUCCCUGGUGAUACUGCUGUCCCUGGUGUCCGUGGUGAUGGUGGUGAUCCUGGGGUUACUGGUGUCCUGGUGAUCCUGGUGUCCCUGGUGUCCUGGUGAUCCUGAUGAUGGUGGUGAUCCUGGUGAUCCUGGUGUCCCUGGUGAUCCUGGUGAUGGUGGUGAUGGUGGUGAUGGUGGUGAUGGUGGUGAUCCUGGUGAUGGUGGUGAUGGUGGUGAUCGUGGUGUUCCUGGUGUUCCCUGGUGCAGGUGUCGUUGGUGCGGCUGCGCUGCGUGCGGGCGCUGCGUGCUCUGUACGCGCUGCACGACACGGCCGCGCACAUGGAGCUCUUCACCGGACGCUUCAAGGUCACACUGCCCCAUAGAUCCACGCUGCCCCAUAGAUCCCCAUAGAUCCACGCUGCCCCAUAGAUCCCCAUAGAUCCCCGCUGCCCCACAGAUCCCCACUGCCCCAUAGAUUCCCAUAGAUCCCCGCUGCCCCAUAGAUCCCCCCUGCCCCAUAGAUCCCCGUAAAUCCCCGCUGCCCCAUAGAUCUACGCUGCCCCACAGAUCCCCACUGCCCCAUAGAUCCCCAUAGAUCCCCGCUGCCCCAUAGAUCCC